rnacentral:rRNA from 1 species
GAUGAACGCUGGCGGCGUGCCUAAUACAUGCAAGUCGAGCGAACAGACGAGGAGCUUGCUCCUCUGACGUUAGCGGCGGACGGGCGAGUAACACGUGGAUAACCUACCUAUAAGACUGGGAUAACUUCGGGAAACCGGAGCUAAUACCGGAUAAUAUAUUGAACCGCAUGGUUCAAUAGUGAAAGACGGUUUUGCUGUCACUUAUAGAUGGAUCCGCGCCGCAUUAGCUAGUUGGUAAGGUAACGGCUUACCAAGGCAACGAUGCGUAGCCGACCUGAGAGGGUGGUAGGCCACACUGGACCGGAGACACGGUCCAGACUCCUACGGGAGGCAGCAGUGGGGAAUCUUACGCAAGGGGCGAGAGCCUGACGGAGCACCGCCGCGUGAGUGAUGAAGGUCUUCGGAUCGUAAAACUCUGUUAUUAGGGAAGAACAAAUGUGUAAGUAACUAUGCACGUCUUGACGGUACCUAAUCAGAAAGCCACGGCUAACUACGUG